CUGCCUUAGCUUGCUCAGCCUGUGUUCAUAGAGCUCACCUCCUUAACCACUGCUUUCUGCUUUCGCUUUUUUUUGCGUUACACCCAAAGCCACUGUCAAGUCAGGCGGAUGAGACUUCACAAGAAACCCCAAUAAAGGACGAGGCCUACACCCUGCCCUGGCUCCUGUCUUCUGCCUCCGGACCAGCCUGGUGUUUGUCCACGUGACCCUGGCAGUGUGUCUCCGGUCUCUAGGACCCUAGGUGUCCAUCAUCUGAACUGUGGCUAUUUCCCAGCUUCGGAUGGCCUGGAAUAAUGGCCCUGCCUCCCUGUACGUCAAACAAAAUAAGACUGACUACUCUAAGGAGAGCUUCAUCCCUGGCCUUUUCUCCCUUCCCCUAGUUUCUUAUCCAGUUCUUGAAUACUACUGGGUACUUUGUCUCAAAUUUACAGGCCUUAGUGCAGCCAUCUCUCAGGCAUUGUAGAUGUCUAGUUUCCAUACAAGGAUUAGCUCUGGUUUGGGGAGUAAGG